UACAGAGGGAGCAAGCGUUGUUCGGAAUUAUUGGGCGUAAAGAGCGCGUAGGCGGCCGCACAGGUCCGUUGUGAAAACUGGAGGCUUAACCUUCAGACGUCGAUGGAAACCGUGCGGCUAGAGUCCGGAAGAGGAGAAUGGAAUUCCUGGUGUAGCGGUGAAAUGCGCAGAUAUCAGGAAGAACACCAAUGGCGAAGGCAGCUCUCUGGGACGGUACUGACGCUGAGACGCGAAAGCGUGGGGAGCGAACAGG
rnacentral:rRNA from 1 species